ensembl:lncRNA
GAACAGCCACGAGCCUCAAACCAGGACGUUGAGGCGGCGCUGAGGCAGAUUGGACAGGAGCCCAGAGAGUCCAAAAGAGAGAAAAGGCAAAAGGGGAAGAGAGGAAUCAUGUUUGAGAUCAGACUGAACGAACUGCAAGAAGAAACGAAAGAUGAAGAUGUGAAAACAGCUGGAAGACAGAAAGAGGACGUGGACCCUCUGAACCAGACGCUGAACUUUGAGGAUGGAGAACAGCUGCAGCUCUGUGAUUGGCUGGAGCAGAGAAGGGGGUGGAGUCAGAGGGUUCCUGAAACCUUAUUGGAGGCUUUGGGAAACAGGGACGUGAUGACUGCCACCGCCUGCACUGUCCAAACUGAGCCAGAUGGUGCGGUGCGUCGGCAGUGGACAGAGGGAGCUCAGAGCGCGCUCCUCGAGGCUCUGGACCAGGCUGAGCUUCAACACGCCACCCU